UGAGGUAUGAAGGCAAUAACUUCAAGCACUUCUACACAAACAGUUAAAUAACUUUUCCAUUUUAUGCUAAUCAUAUGGUCAUAUUUCCUGUCUCAUAGGGCUCAGUAGAUGAGGGUGGAAAGGGGAAGCAUGGAAAGGGCCAAGACAAAGGGAAAGACAAAGGCCAGCAGGGACAAGGAAAAGGUCAUGAUCACAGUCAUGGAGGUGACCAUGGGAAAAAAGGUGAACAAAAAGGAAAAAAGUGAGACUAACUUCAAAGCCUGAAACAACAUGACGGUCCAUGCAAAAAAACUGGGUUUCAGUUCAACUUUGCAUUCAAAUAAUGAAAUUAAAACACCCUUGAACACAUUGUCUUUGUUUUUAAUAAUUGAGCAUGACUGUUUUUAAAUGGACUGUGAAAAUCACAUCUGUGUGUAAGCAAUAAACACAUCAGGAUCAGAAUCUAAA